AGAUACCCUGUUACUAAUUUCUUAGUUCCCAGAUUAAUAUAAAUAAUGAAAUUUAACGGAUUUGGCGGCAAAGCAGCCUUUUAGAGGAACCUGCCCUUUAAUCGAUGGUCCACGAGUCACCGUACUUUCUCUUGUUUUCAGUUUGUAUACCGCUGUUGUCAGUUAGUUUCUUUAGAAAUCUAUCAAUAAUAUAAAAAGUAUUAACUUCAAGUAAAGGUGCAGCUAAUGAGGGAGUCUGAGGUGGGUUACAUUUGAAUUGAGCAAGCACGAAAUUUAAAAUGAAAAUUUUUAUUGAAGGUGGAUUUAAAAGUAAAAUUUAGGUGAUUUGAUGAGAGGUAAUGCUUUGUGUACAAACCGCCCGU
rnacentral:rRNA from 1 species